GACGAACGCUGGCGGCGUGCUUAACACAUGCAAGUCGAACGGAAAGGCCCUGCUUUUGUGGGCUGCUCGAGUGGCGAACGGGUGAGUAACACGUGAGUAACCUGCUCUUGACUUUGGGAUAACUUCAGGAAACUGGGGCUAAUACCGGAUAGCAUCUCCUGCUGCAUGGUGGGCGUUGGAAAUUUUCGGCGGUUGGGGAUGGACUCGCGGCUUAUCAGCUUGUUGGUGGGGUAGUGGCUUACCAAGGCUUUGACGGGUAGCCGGCCUGAGAGGGUGACCGGCCACAAUGGGACUGAGAUACGGCCCAGACUCCUACGGGAGGCAGCAGUGGGGAAUAUUGCACAAUGGGAGGAAGCCUGAUGCAGCAACGCCGCGUGCGGGAUGACGGCCUUCGGGUUGUAAACCGCUUUCGCCUGUGACGAAGCGUGAGUGACGGUAAUGGGUAAAGAAGCACCGGCUAACUACGUG
rnacentral:rRNA from 1 species